GGCUGGCUGACUUGCUGGCUGGUUGGUUGCAUGCGAGUGCUCGUACAUGUGAGAUGAGCAGCAUUCAAACCGUGAUAAAGUAGGAGCGAAAUUUUUGUGUUUUUGAAUUUUCGCACAUUUUUUCGGUUGUUGGUUGGGAGCAUUUGACUGUGGUGCGGAUGUUUUCCUGCCUGCCUGCAUUCUAUACGAAUGUGUUUGUAUGUUCAUAAGUAUGAACUCGUACAUACAUAUUUGCAUUUUAGUCUUUUGUGGUGUCUGGUUGAAGUUAAAUUCACAUAUUUUAUUAAAAGCAUGCAGCGGUGGCUGAAAGUAGCAGCAGUAGUGUUAGUAGUAGCAGCAGCAGCAGUUUUAUUCAGCCUGCGCACCUGCAAGGAACAAUGUCAGCAGAUUGAAUGUGUAUUAUGUGUACAGUCAUUAUUUAUUGGUGUCAAUAAAUUGCGGUCCAAUUGGAAGUAGUGUCCUUUUUGUGUGCAAAAACAAAAAACCCCAAAAAAAUAACACAUACUCUACACACUAUGAAUAUACGAGUAUGUACCUCUAUCCUUACAUACUUAGUAGAAGUAUAUUGUAGAUUUGAAUUGUUCGGUCGUCUGGAUGAUAUGUGUACAGCUAACCGCCAUUUAUUUGAAUUCGUUUUUUGUUAAUGCGACAGCGAAUAUGGAUGUAUUUAACAUAUGUGCAGGCAUUUGAAUGGAUUGUGAAUAUCCUUGCUGCUAUCAGAAAGUUUAAUGAGCAAUGCCAAAAGUCAACGGUGUUAUUUUGGUAAUUUAUAAAAAAAGUAAAUCGAUAAGAAUUUCCUGUGUAACAAAUUGGUUAAGAACGACCUGCUUAUAUGUCGGUAAUUAUAUUUACCAGUAUGUGUUAAUUUUCGGUAUCUUAUAAAAUUUGGCCGUGUUUUCUGAGUUGGGAUAGGAAUUAUUACAUCUUACGUUGCAGUUGAAGGUCUUGUUAGUUGCGAUAUUUAACACAUUCUAUCGAUGCAAUCAAUCUCCUGAUAGUACAAUGAGAGCUCAUCGUCCGAAAUACUCCACUUGUCUGAAGCACAAACUCCCUUCCUCUCUCCCUCUCUCUUUUCAUCCAUCAUACAUACGUUCCAUCAUCCAUACAUACGUUUAAACAAGUGAGAAAUUAUAGUCGUUCAAAGCCGAUAUAAAAAUUAUGUUAAAUAUUAUAAGUCCAAAUCUUUGUUCCGUUUCCAAAAGAUCAUUUGGAUAAUAGAUUUUGUAAAAAUUUAAUUGAAUUAUUUUAAAAUUUUGACUUUUAAAGAUAAACGUUAACAGGUCAAAUUCGGAAGUUUAGUUGUAUAAAGGUGAAGUAAUUAAGCAAUUUUCAGAUAGAUUUCGUCCCUGCGAUAAUAUAAAAUGAUGUACCAAAUUGUAUUGUUUCGAUUACAAGAUUUACAUUGUCGGACGAAGAAAAUUAUUCAAAGAAAAAUUAUUAUAUGGGACCAAUACAAUUGUUCAUUACAAAUAUCUGCACAUCACCCACUAUUCCGAUGUAGGGUAUAGAAAUUGUCACAGGAUCAUGGAAAAUCCCUUCCUAUAACUGAAUGACUAAUUUACUUAACCUUUGAUGAAAUAUUUGGAAAUUUGAAGAAAAAGAUUAACAUAUAACAAGGUCUUGAAGGGCUCCCAAAAAUUAUUUUAAAUUCGAUUAAUGAGAUCAUGUUAAUAAGAACUUUGCUAAAACCCUGUAUUAAAUUACUCAAUAAUAUGAAAGAAGUUAAUGGCGAAUUCAAAAGUACUAUUUACUUUUAGUUAAAAAGGAUCACUUGAUAUGAAACAUAUCUUUUUAUUAACUUGGCAACUCUAUUAACCUUUAGACAAUGUUCAGAGUCAUCGAUUGGCAUUAUAAAAUUGGAUUAAAAUAUUUUUCAAUAGAUCUUGCAACGAGCCUUAAUAAAAUUGUAUAAACAUUUAAUCAUAUAAGAAUUGCUGCUUCUUUAGCAAUAAACCGCAAGUUAAAAAUGUCUCUGGGAAUAAACAGCGACACAUAGAAAAUAAACAUAAUGCGAAUAAAUACACUUCUUAAGAAUAUUUUUAUUUUGUUUGUGAAACACCUACAAUAAAAAAAAGAUCUUUUGUGUCUGUGAUAAUUUGCAUUUUCAACAUAUAUACAUAUGUACAGAUACAUAAAACUAACUGGCAAACUGUUUGUAAAGUAUGAAUAAAAGAAUCGUUAUAAAUAUUCAUACAUACCUGUCGGAAAAGGUUUUCAACACUGGUUCUGGUUGCAGUCAAAGAUUAAUGAUGUAUUGUGAGUGUUAUGUAUCUGUCUAAUGAGGUCAUUAAUUAACGAU